UGGGGAAUUUUGGACAAUGGGCGAAACCCUGAUCCAGCCAUCCCGCGUGUGCGAUGAAGGCCUUCGGGUUGUAAAGCACUUUUGGCAGGAAAGAAACGUCAUGGGUUAAUACCCCGUGAAACUGACGGUACCUGCAGAAUAAGCACCGGCUAACUACGUGCCAGCAGCCGCGGUAAUACGUAGGGUGCAAGCGUUAAUCGGAAUUACUGGGCGUAAAGCGUGCGCAGGCGGUUCGGAAAGAAAGAUGUGAAAUCCCAGAGCUCAACUUUGGAACUGCAUUUUUAACUACCGGGCUAGAGUGUGUCAGAGGGAGGUGGAAUUCCGCGUGUAGCAGUGAAAUGCGUAGAUAUGCGGAGGAACACCGAUGGCGAAGGCAGCCUCCUGGGAUAACACUGACGCUCAUGCACGAAAGCGUGGGGAGCAAACAGG
rnacentral:rRNA from 1 species